AGAAGGAGACCAGUGCUAAUGGCUGGGCUCCAUGGCUAUGAGGCGGUAAUUAACAGUCGAGGGCUGGUCCCUUCCUGGAAUGCUCUGGGAUGUCGGCUCCGUUUUGCUGACUUUGGAGAAAAGGAUGGCGAUAAAUAAACGUGAAGCACGCGGGCGGUGGUGCGAAAUGAUGCUUCUUCUAAUUAUCGCCAUUCCGAGGCGUCGUUAACACGCGAGCGAGCGCGGAGAAUGAUAACGACUUCUGGGGUUCGUCGAGGCUCGGAUUUGCCAUCUUAAGCCCUCAGCGCAGGGACGCCGUAUUCCCUGGGACAGACUCUCUCACAGACAAAUGAUAGCAUCGCGUAGAAGGUAAAGAGGAAACGAGUCACUGCGGCCGAAUUUAAAAGGGAAGGGUGAUCUCCCUGGCUUCCGGGACUGCAGGGAAAGGGCCCAGAAAGGCAGCGAAUGAGAGACUUUGAGGGGCACCCGAGAGGGCUGCUGGGAAAUCUUCCCUCCGUGGCAGCUCCCUCUUCUGCCAACCAAGGUCAUGAUGCAGUGACUGCACCGCUCCAUCUUUCUUUGGUGCUUGGAGGACAGAGGCGUCCCUGGAUCCUGCCGUUCAGAAGACUGAGGCUGAAGCAGCUGGAGGUUUCCUUUGUCCGUUUUAAAUUCUAGGUUCCUAUUGUGUGUCUGUUGUCUCACCGAGCACAUUUCCGUCCAUUCACAAGCAUAUGAUCUAGGACCCUGUGCUGUUGGAUGCUAAGACAAGAGGACCAGAUUGCUUGCUUUGAAAAUGCCAUGGCCAAGAGCAACCUGCGGAGGAAGCAUCUGUUCUGCUCCUGUGCCAACAAGUGCUCAAGUGCAUGAGCCGACGAGGGACAGCUCUCAUCCUAAAAACCACAGGGACCAUUCUUCCAGGGUUGUUCCAAGCCCUGCUACGAUUGAGGGGCAGGAAGUUCAUUCCUUCGCACCUCUGGGCUCAGAGCUCUCCAGGGUCACCUCUUCCUCAGUCCCUAUCCUAGCAGGCGUGCCCAACUUUUUGACAAUUUCAAGACGCUGUCACUUACGAAGCCCACAUUUAAGAACACCAUUAAGUCAUAAAAAAAUAUAUACCAUGAUAUUUUACAUAA